rnacentral:tRNA from 1 species
GGGCGCGUAGCUCAGCGGUAGAGCACCCGCCUUACAAGCGGGUGGUCGCUGGUUCGAACCCAGCCGCGCCCA